rnacentral:rRNA from 1 species
UCGAGAAUAAUUCACAAUGGGCGAAAGCCUGAUGGUGUGACGCCGCGUGGAGGAUGAAGGUCUUCGGAUUGUAAACUCCUGUCAUGUGGGAGUAAAGCCGGGCGUUAACUGCGCGCCGGUCUGAGAGUACCACAAGAGGAAGAGACGGCUAACUCUGUGCCAGCAGCCGCGGUAAUACAGAGGUCUCAAGCGUUGUUCGGAAUCACUGGGCGUAAAGGGUGCGUAGGCUGCGGCGUAAGUCAGAUGUGAAAUCCCGGGGCUCAACCUCGGAAUUGCAUCCGAUACUGCGUUGCUUGAGGGCUGGAGAGGAGUCUGGAAUUCAUGGUGGAGCAGUGAAAUGCGUAGAUAUCAUGAGGAACGCUAGUGGCGUAGGCGAGACUCUGGACAGAUCCUGACGCUGAGGCACGAAGGCCAGGGGAGCAAACGGG